GGAGUCCGUUGCUGUGUUUUUGCUGGCAGAGAAUGUAAUCGUUACGUUUGGAGUCACUCUCGGGGACGACGCCCUGUAUGUCAACGCGUGGCGUGCCAUGCCGGGGUGCCAGCGCCUUUCAUCUGCAUGUCAUGAAGCGCCGACAAACGUUUGCUGCAAAGUCCAACUGGCAUCCGAUGUUCCCCAGAGUUCCCCGAGGCCCGGUCAGGACGGAGGUAAGCAGAAUGUGACAGGCUUAAAUGGUGAGUGGCUGAUGAGGGGAUGCAGAGGUGUGCAGGUGAGAAGGCAGAGGAGAACCAGGGUUUUGCGUACUUGAGGCUUCUCCUGACACAGUCUGUUCCCCUGCACUUACCAAGAUGAGUCACCCACUAAAUCUGCAGGCGUUUUAAUUUCUUUGGCCUCGACGUUGUGAAUGUUCACCUCAGGGCCUGAAGCUUGCUGCUCAUUCCACAGUCACAGCAGUAAAACGCCUGUUAAAACUUGUUAAAACUAAGUAUUUGCAGCACUCUGCGGAGUUACAUAUCUCUCUGAGAGA
ensembl:lncRNA